UACAGGGGGUGCAAACGUUGCUCGGAAUCAUUGGGCGUAAAGCGCACGUAGGCGGUCUGUUAUGUCGGAUGUGAAAGCCCUUGGCUCAACUGAGGAAGUGCAUCCGAAACUGGCAGGCUAGAGUACUAAAGAGGAUCGCGGAAUUCCCGGUGUAGAGGUGAAAUUCGUAGAUAUCGGGAGGAACACCGGUGGCGAAGGCGGCAUCCUGGACCAACACUGACACUGAGGAGCGAAAGCCAGGGGAGCAAACGGG
rnacentral:rRNA from 1 species